GAACGCUGGCGGCAGGCCUAACACAUGCAAGUCGAGCGGUAGCACAGAGAGCUUGCUCUCGGGUGACGAGCGGCGGACGGGUGAGUAAUGUCUGGGAAACUGCCUGAUGGAGGGGGAUAACUACUGGAAACGGUAGCUAAUACCGCAUAAUGUCGCAAGACCAAAGUGGGGGACCUUCGGGCCUCAUGCCAUCAGAUGUGCCCAGAUGGGAUUAGCUAGUAGGUGGGGUAACGGCUCACCUAGGCGACGAUCCCUAGCUGGUCUGAGAGGAUGACCAGCCACACUGGAACUGAGACACGGUCCAGACUCCUACGGGAGGCAGCAGUGGGGAAUAUUGCACAAUGGGCGCAAGCCUGAUGCAGCCAUGCCGCGUGUGUGAAGAAGGCCUUCGGGUUGUAAAGCACUUUCAGCGGGGAGGAAGGCGAUAAGGUUAAUAACCUUGUCGAUUGACGUUACCCGCAGAAGAAGCACCGGCUAACUCCGUGCCAGCAGCCGCGGUAAUACGGAGGGUGCAAGCGUUAAUCGGAAUUACUGGGCGUAAAGCGCACGCAGGCGGUCUGUCAAGUCGGAUGUGAAAUCCCCGGGCUCAACCUGGGAACUGCAUUCGAAACUGGCAGGCUAGAGUCUUGUAGAGGGGGGUAGAAUUCCAGGUGUAGCGGUGAAAUGCGUAGAGAUCUGGAGGAAUACCGGUGGCGAAGGCGGCCCCCUGGACAAAGACUGACGCUCAGGUGCGAAAGCGUGGGGAGCAAACAGGAUUAGAUACCCUGGUAGUCCACGCCGUAAACGAUGUCGAUUUGGAGGUUGUGCCCUUGAGGCGUGGCUUCCGGAGCUAACGCGUUAAAUCGACCGCCUGGGGAGUACGGCCGCAAGGUUAAAACUCAAAUGAAUUGACGGGGGCCCGCACAAGCGGUGGAGCAUGUGGUUUAAUUCGAUGCAACGCGAAGAACCUUACCUGGUCUUGACAUCCACAGAACUUUCCAGAGAUGGAUUGGUGCCUUCGGGAACUGUGAGACAGGUGCUGCAUGGCUGUCGUCAGCUCGUGUUGUGAAAUGUUGGGUUAAGUCCCGCAACGAGCGCAACCCUUAUCCUUUGUUGCCAGCGGUCCGGCCGGGAACUCAAAGGAGACUGCCAGUGAUAAACUGGAGGAAGGUGGGGAUGACGUCAAGUCAUCAUGGCCCUUACGACCAGGGCUACACACGUGCUACAAUGGCAUAUACAAAGAGAAGCGACCUCGCGAGAGCAAGCGGACCUCAUAAAGUAUGUCGUAGUCCGGAUUGGAGUCUGCAACUCGACUCCAUGAAGUCGGAAUCGCUAGUAAUCGUAGAUCAGAAUGCUACGGUGAAUACGUUCCCGGGCCUUGUACACACCGCCCGUCACACCAUGGGAGUGGGUUGCAAAAGAAGUAGGUAGCUUAACCUUCGGGAGGGCGCUUACCACUUUGUGAUUCAUGACUGGG
rnacentral:rRNA from 1 species